rnacentral:rRNA from 1 species
AUUUAUUACAUUUAUUACUUUUGUUUUAUCACGAAGGAAUUCGAGCUAAAUCAAUUAAAAAUAUUAGAAUAUAUAUACUAUGUAACAUAAUAGUAUCAUUACACUUUUUUGGGGGUGAUAGGCCUGUCAAGUUUUCCGAUAUCUUGUUAUACAAGAAAAAUAUUUAGUAUUUUUUCAUGCUAGAAAAGCUAAGCUUGCUAGCUUUAAUCAAUGAUAGUAUUCUUUUAUAAUAAAGUUUAAUAACUAAUUUAUUAUAAUAUAAAAUAUUAAUUAUAGAAUAUUAUAUAUAAUAUUGUAUUUAUACAAAAUUGUCUCUUUUUUAAUAAUGUAAAUAUGAGUCAUAAAAUUAAACAUUACUAAGGAACUCGGCAAAAUUACUGCUCAACUGUUUAUCAAAAACAUAACUAUAUGUAUUAAUAUAUAGCUAUUUCUGCUCAAUGGUUUACUAAAUAGCCGCAGUACUCUGACUGUGCAAAGGUAGCAUAAUCAAUUGACUUAUAAUUGAAGUCUGGUAUGAACGAAAUAAUGGGUAGUAACUGUCUUAAUAAUGUUUUAUUUAAUUUAGUUAAUAAGUGAAAAUACUUAUAUUUUAUGAAAGACGAGAAGACCCUAGAAACUUAAAUAUUUUUGUUGGGGCGACAGAAUUACAUUUAACUAAUUUUAUUGUACAUGAAGCUAUGAUGAUAGUUAAAGUUACUCUAGGGAUAACAGCAUAAUUUACAUAGUUUGUGACCUCGAUGUUGGACUAGGUAAGAUAUUUUUUAGGAGGAAAUAUUUUUUGCUCUGUUCGAGCAACUAUACCUACAUGAUCUGAGUUCAGACCGG